GGCCAUAUAACUUUAAAACAUUGGUUCUCGUCCGAUCACCGAAGUUAAGCAACAUCGGUCUGUACCUUGAUGGGUGACCGCUUGAAAAUACCAAGUGUUGUAAU